rnacentral:tRNA from 1 species
GUGGGUGUAGCUCAGUGGUAGAGCGCAUGCUUAGCAUGCAAGAGGUCCUGGGUUCAUCUCCAGUACCUCCA